rnacentral:lncRNA from 1 species
CGUCUCUCUGCUGCGGCGCGGGGACCGCUGUGCUCUCGGGAAAGCCCUGAGAAACUACCAGAACGGGGUCCCUGGGGCCAGUGUUGGGAGCGUACGGUGAAGUGGCAGGGCUGCUGCGCCCGUGCGGAACUCCGCUGUGGAAGAUUAGCCCCUUUGGUGACUCGUCGGUUCUGGCCGCUUUGGGACCCUCUACUGUGCAGUCUGAACUUUCAGCAGGUGGAGGAGGGCAGAGAGAGAGCUGAGAUCGUUGGUCCAUGCCAGUGCGAGAGCCAGUACGGCCGGAAGCCAUGAUGGGACUUUCAGUUCCUUUCUUGGUGGAGGCCAGCACAGGGGAGAGGGGGUGCCCACAGAUGCUAGAAGCUUAAAGGCUGCUGGGGGCUAGCGGCCUCAGGACAUAAGGUUUCCAGACAGGACGGGGCAGGUGGUGAUGCAGCUGUAGCUCGUGAGUCUGAGCGGGAAACAGCCCCCGCGCAGUCGGUGUCGCUGUGAACGGAAAAGGGCCUUCCUUACACAGGAAACGGGGUCUCUGGGGGAUCCAGUGACGUGCCCAACCACAGAGACCAGACCCCUCCUCCUGUAGAGAGUGGUGCUGCCCUCUCGGGAUGUACCUGCAGGUGGAGACCCGCACCAGCUCCCGCCUCCAUCUGAAGAGGGCUCCAGGCAUCCGGUCCUGGUCCCUGCUGGAAUCUUGUCGAUUGGCCUGGCUGCUGCCUACUACAGCGGAGAUAGCCUGGGCUGGAAGCUCUUCUACGUCACAGGCUGCCUGUUUGUGGCUGUGCAGAACUUGGAGGACUGGGAGGAAGCCAUCUUCGACAAGAGCACAGGGAAGGUUGUUUUGAAGACGUUCAGCCUCUACAAGAAGCUGCUGACUCUUUUCAGAGCUGGCCACGACCAGG